AACUUUCAACAAUGGAUCUCUUGGUUCUGGCAUCGAUGAAGAACGCAGCGAAUGCGAUAAGUAGUGUGAAUUGCAGAAUUCAGUGAAUCAUCGAAUCUUUGAACGCACAUUGCGCCCCUUGGUAUUCCAUGGGGCAUGCCUGUUCGAGCGUCAUUU
rnacentral:rRNA from 1 species